CAAUUUUCAAAAUUUCAAAUUUGCCAUCUACUUUAACCCAACAACAAAGACAUUUUAGUAAUUAGGACCACUCCUACUCCAAUUCUGAAAUCUAAUUCCUCUCAAUCCAUAUGGUUUAGUAAACAAAGGGACCAUGCAACUUAGGGUGGAGAAUAAAAAGGUUGAGGAGAGGAAGCAUGGGGAUUGCAUGUAUCCUUGCCAGCCACUUUCUCUUCUGGAAACACUGCAAGCAUGAAAUGAACUGAACCCAAGGAAAUUUUUUUAAUUUUUAAGUAACUAUAAUUUUCUGUUACCCAAUUUAAUUAUGUAAAUUACAAUUCAACUAUGAUCUGUUUUUUAAUUCUUGCAUUCAAUCUGUUUCCGGAGUUCAUAUUUUGUGCAUAUUCUUCAUCUAACAUGUAAAUUUCUCGAUCAUACGGUCGUACCAGAGAGUGCAUACCCUGCUGUAAAGAAAGACAUAACAGGAGGGGGUUCAACUGAGAGAGGUAUGUGGCUGAUGUUCUUGUUACUUUGGAUCAAUUUUGGCUAUAAUUUAUGACAUGUAUAAAUCACCAUCUUCUUCAUGAUGCUUUUUCAGAUGCAUUGUAUGCACAAAUUGAAACAGGGAAACGGUUGGCCCUAAUUAAAGCAUGGGAGGAAAGUGAGAAAACAAAAGCAGAGAACAAGUAUGAGGGAGGCUAUUGUGCUUUUUAUAAGCUUAAACAUGAAAAUUAUUGGAGUGUCUAUUGCUUUACAAUAAUCAUGAUCUUUCAUGCUUGAUUAAGGUAAUUAAAUUAAUCCAACAUUGUCAACCAUUGACAGGGCAUAUAGAAGAAUGUCAACAGUAGAAUUGUGGGAAGACAGCAAGAGAACUUCUGUGGAGGCAGAACUCAAAAAAAUUGAGGUAAGAAAACCCUGUUUUGCAGUAGAUUAUGAUCUUUAAUAAAAAUAAAAUGAAAAUGAAAAUUGGAACUUUGUCGUCGUCGUGAAAUAAUCUUGUGUUACACCCUUUUGGACAGGAAUUCUUUUUUUGUCAUACCAUUUAUCUGACAAUGUAUUUUGUACCAACUUAACAUGUACAUUGCUUGAAAUUAACACUAAUUCAUAUAAUCUAACUAAAACCCUUUUUUGAUAUUUGACCAAAAUGUGUUUCGAUCGACUAAUCUGUGGGGACUAAUGACAGGAAAAUUUUGAGAGCAAUGCCCCAGGGUGGAGGAGACAGCUGCAAAGUUUUGUUCUCCCGGAAUUACACUAAAGAAAUUGCUACUUGGGUGCUUCAUCAGCCAGCAUUCUGCAAUUAUGUAAUUAACCAUAAAAAAUAAGGGAGAGGCUUGUUUUCCACUUUGGUUUGAGCUUUUUAUUUCUAAUGCAACAUUUAUAAAAAUAAAAUAAAAAACAAAGCAAAC
rnacentral:lncRNA from 1 species